rnacentral:rRNA from 1 species
CCCGCACAAGCGGUGGAGCAUGUGGUUUAAUUCGAUGCAACGCGAAGAACCUUACCUACUCUUGACAUCCAGGGAAUUUGCUAGAGAUAGCUUAGUGCCUUCGGGAACUCUGAGACAGGUGCUGCAUGGCUGUCGUCAGCUCGUGUUGUGAAAUGUUGGGUUAAGUCCCGCAACGAGCGCAACCCUUAUCCUUUGUUGCCAGCGAGUAAUGUCGGGAACUCAAAGGAGACUGCCGGUGAUAAACCGGAGGAAGGUGGGGAUGACGUCAAGUCCUCAUGGCCCUUACAUCCCGGGCUACACACGUGCUACAAUGGCAGGUACAGAGGGCUGCGAAGCCGCGAGGUGGAGCGAAUCCCAGAAAACCUGUCUCAGUCCGGAUUGAAGUCUGCAACUCGACUUCAUGAAGGCGGAAUCGCUAGUAACCGCGGAUCAGAAUGUCACGGUGAAUACGUUCCCGGGUCUU